GCGGGUGUGGCGGAAUUGGCAGACGCACUAGACUUAGGAUCUAGCGGGCGACCGUGCAGGUUCAACUCCUGUCACCCGCAUCA
rnacentral:tRNA from 2 species